UACGUAGGUGGCAAGCGUUGUCCGGAUUUACUGGGCGUAAAGAGCGCGCAGGCGGUCGAUCAAGUCGCGUGUGAAAGCCCCCGGCUCAACUGGGGAGGGUCACGCGAUACUGAUCGACUCGAAGGCAGGAGAGGGUAGUGGAAUUCCCGGUGUAGUGGUGAAAUGCGUAGAUAUCUGGAGGAACACCGGUGGCGAAGGCGGCAUCCUGGACCAAUAUUGACGCUGAGGAGCGAAAGCCAGGGGAGCAAACGGG
rnacentral:rRNA from 1 species